GCUAAAUAGCUAGCUCAAACAUUUAAAUAACCCUAGAAUAUUAAUACAAAACAUUAUUUUAACAGAUAAACUAAAUCAUUCUUUUACCUGAGUAUGGGCGACAGAAAAG
rnacentral:rRNA from 1 species